rnacentral:rRNA from 1 species
UAGCUAGUUGGUAGGGUAAGAGCCUACCAAGGCGACGAUCGGUAGCUGGUCUGAGAGGAUGGCCAGCCACACUGGAACUGAGACACGGUCCAGACUCCUACGGGAGGCAGCAGUGGGGAAUAUUGGACAAUGGGGGCAACCCUGAUCCAGCAAUGCCGCGUGUGUGAAGAAGGCCUGAGGGUUGUAAAGCACUUUCAGUGGGGAGGAGUGUUGAUAGGUUAAGAGCUAAUUAACUGGACGUUACCCACAGAAGAAGCACCGGCUAACUCCGUGCCAGCAGCCGCGGUAAUACGGAGGGUGCGAGCGUUAAUCGGAAUUACUGGGCGUAAAGGGUGCGUAGGUGGUUGUAUAAGUUAUCUGUGAAAUCCCUGGGCUUAACCUGGGCAGGUCAGAUAAUACUGUAUGACUCGAGUAUGGGAGAGGGUAGUGGAAUUUCCGGUGUAGCGGUGAAAUGCGUAGAGAUCGGAAGGAACACCAGUGGCGAAGGCGGCUACCUGGCCUAAUACUGACACUGAGGCACGAAAGCGUGGGGAGCAAACAGGAUUAGAUACCCUGGUAGUCCACGCUGUAAACGAUGUCAACUAGCUGUUGGUUAUAUGAAUAUAAUUAGUGGCGC